CUACGGGUCGCUGCAGUGGGGAAUAUUGCACAAUGGGCGCAAGCCUGAUGCAGCCAUGCCGCGUGUAUGAAGAAGGCCUUCGGGUUGUAAAGUACUUUCAGCGGGGAGGAAGGGAGUAAAGUUAAUACCUUUGCUCAUUGACGUUACCCGCAGAAGAAGCACCGGCUAACUCCGUGCCAGCAGCCGCGGUAAUACGGAGGGUGCAAGCGUUAAUCGGAAUUACUGGGCGUAAAGCGCACGCAGGCGGUUUGUUAAGUCAGAUGUGAAAUCCCCGGGCUCAACCUGGGAACUGCAUCUGAUACGGGCAAGCUUGAGUGUCGUAGAGGGGGGUAGCAUUCCAGGUGUAGCGGUGAAAUGCGUAGAGAUCUGGAGGAAUACCGGUGGCGAAGGCGGCCCCCUGGACGAAGACUGACGCUCAGGUGCGAAAGCGUGGGGAGCAAACAGGAUUAGAUACCCGCGUAGUC
rnacentral:rRNA from 1 species